CCAUGCAGUCGAACGAUGAUGCCCAGCUUGCUGGGUGGAUUAGUGGCGAACGGGUGAGUAACACGUGAGUAACCUGCCCCUGACUCUGGGAUAAGCGUUGGAAACGACGUCUAAUACUGGAUAUGAUCACUGGCCGCAUGGUCUGGUGGUGGAAAGAUUUUUUGGUUGGGGAUGGACUCGCGGCCUAUCAGCUUGUUGGUGAGGUAAUGGCUCACCAAGGCGACGACGGGUAGCCGGCCUGAGAGGGUGACCGGCCACACUGGGACUGAGACACGGCCCAGACUCCUACGGGAGGCAGCAGUGGGGAAUAUUGCACAAUGGGCGAAAGCCUGAUGCAGCAACGCCGCGUGAGGGAUGACGGCCUUCGGGUUGUAAACCUCUUUUAGUAGGGAAGAAGCGAAAGUGACGGUACCUGCAGAAAAAGCACCGGCUAACUACGUGCCAGCAGCCGCGGUAAUACGUAGGGUGCAAGCGUUGUCCGGAAUUAUUGGGCGUAAAGAGCUCGUAGGCGGUUUGUCGCGUCUGCUGUGAAAUCCCGAGGCUCAACCUCGGGCUUGCAGUGGGUACGGGCAGACUAGAGUGCGGUAGGGGAGAUUGGAAUUCCUGGUGUAGCGGUGAAAA
rnacentral:rRNA from 1 species